rnacentral:snoRNA from 1 species
AAGACUGUACUUUCAGGGAUCAUUUCUAUAGCAUGUUACUAGAAAAUGAACAUGUUGAGUUAAACACCUCAAUCAUGAGUACUUGUGAA